UAAGGGCGCACGGUGGAUGCCUUGGCACUAGAAGCCGAUGAAGGACGUUACUAACGACGAUAUGCUUUGGGGAGCUGUAAGUAAGCUUUGAUCCAGAGAUUUCCGAAUGGGGAAACCCAGCAUGAGUUAUGUCAUGUUAUCGAUAUGUGAAUACAUAGCAUAUCAGAAGGCACACCCGGAGAACUGAAACAUCUUAGUACCCGGAGGAAGAGAAAGAAAAUUCGAUUCCCUUAGUAGCGGCGAGCGAAACGGGAAGAGCCCAAACCAACAAGCUUGCUUGUUGGGGUUGUAGGACACUCUAUACGGAGUUACAAAGGACGACAUUAGACGAAUCAUCUGGAAAGAUGAAUCAAAGAAGGUAAUAAUCCUGUAGUCGAAAAUGUUGUCUCUCUUGAGUGGAUCCUGAGUACGACGGAGCACGUGAAAUUCCGUCGGAAUCUGGGAGGACCAUCUCCUAAGGCUAAAUACUCUCUAGUGACCGAUAGUGAACCAGUACCGUGAGGGAAAGGUGAAAAGCACCCCGGAAGGGGAGUGAAAUAGAACCUGAAACCGUGUGCUUACAAGUAGUCAGAGCCCGUUAAUGGGUGAUGGCGUGCCUUUUGUAGAAUGAACCGGCGAGUUACGAUUUGAUGCAAGGUUAAGCAGUAAAUGUGGAGCCGUAGCGAAAGCGAGUCUGAAUAGGGCGUUUAGUAUUUGGUCGUAGA
rnacentral:rRNA from 1 species